AGCCAUGCAUGUUUCCGCAAUCAGGGACGAAUAGCUCAGUAAAACUGCGAUGAUUUAGUCUGGCUGUGUAGAUAACUACGUGAAAAUGUAGCUAAGGGAAGGCAGAAUAAGACGCAGGACUAUCAGUUAGUUGGUAGUGUAAUGGACUACCAAGACAGUGACGGUUGACGGGAAAUUAGGGUUUUGUACCGGAGAGGGAGCCUGAGAGAUUGCUCCCACGUCCAAGGACGGCAGCAGGCGCGAAAAUUGCCCACUCUUUGCAGGAGGCAGUUAUGAGACGUGAAGAUGAGUAUCUUGUAAAGAGGGAUAGGAGAAUUGGAGGGCAAGUUUGGUGCCAGCAGCCGCGGUAAUACCGACUCCAAGAGUGUGUAUGAGAGAUGCUGCAGUUAAAAAGUCCGUAGUCAUAGAAGGGCAAAGAGAGAUGCGAGGUCUCACAGUGCGAUGAUGGAGGAGCCGAUGGGGAACAUAGUAUACCAGGGCGAGAGAUGAAAUGCCAAGACCCCUGGUGGACUGAGCGAGGCGAAGGCGAUGUUCUU
rnacentral:rRNA from 1 species